GCCUACGGGGCGCAGCAGUGAGGAAUAUUGGUCAAUGGGCGGGAGCCUGAACCAGCCAAGCCGCGUGAGGGAAGAAGGUACAGCGUAUCGUAAACCUCUUUUGUCAGGGAACAAAGGCGGGGACUAGUCCCCGGAUGAGGGUACCUGAGUAAGAAGCCUCGGCUAACUACGUGCCAGCAGCCGCGGUAAUACGUAGGGGGCAAGCGUUAUCCGGAUUUACUGGAUGUAAAGGGAGCGUAGACGGUAUGGCAAGUCUGAAGUGAAAGCCCCGGGCUCAACCUGGGAAUUGCUUUGGAAACUGGUAA
rnacentral:rRNA from 1 species